rnacentral:lncRNA from 1 species
GCGGGAAGGUGGGCUGGGGGCGGGGAGCUCUGGGGGCGUGCCGGCUGCGCGGGGACACUAGCUCUGCCUGCUGCCACUGGCUCCAAGUUCCCACCCUCGCUCUCCCGCGGAGCCUGCCUGAGCCCGCCCCUUCGGUGCGGAGGUGCAAACGCCGCCGCGGUCAGCCCAGCCUGCCUUGCCGCGCGAUUUGGGCCCGUUCGGCCACCGCGGUCGGCUGGGAGCCGGCUGGGAGGACCCGGUGGCUGCUUCAUCUCGGCCUGCAGUGCCCCGCAGGGCCCAAGCUUCUCCUCGCGGUCUCCGGAGCCCGGUUCCUGGCCUGGACGCCUUGCAGGGGCCGGAGAACGGCUAAGAUAUUUCCUGCUUCGGAGAGCACUUUAAGCAAGGAAGGCUUUCCUUGGCUUCGCCUGCAUUCCAUAAAAUACUCAUUGCCUUUUCGGAACAAGCAUGGAUGCCUCACCCACAUUACUCGUGGAGAAAGAACAGAAAAUAAAUUGUGGAACACGGAGAAUCCAGCAAGAUUAAAUAAUCUGAUCAGCAAAAACUGGUAUAUGGGAACCCCCAUGAUAAAAUUAAAGAAACCCCCAUUUGAUCUCACAUCCGAGCAGGCAAUAAGCCAGAUGCUGCCUGCUAUAAGGCCUGUAACACUCUAUGAGUCUGCCUCUCUUGAUGCCUGUGCUGAAACCUACAUUAAAACCUUCCUUUAAGAAG